rnacentral:rRNA from 1 species
GAGAAGCAAGCUUGUGGCGAAGCUUCUUCUCCGGCCGGAGUGCGAGCAUCGUCAGUAGGCAUGGAGUAGCCACUGUUCCGGUGACAGGAGGUUGCCCGCAGGGGUCCAUAAGUGGUCCAUUUAUAUGGAACAUCUUAAUGGACGUGUUGCUCCAGCGCUUAGAGCCCCUUGGUGCGCUCAGAGCGUAUGCUGACGACUUGCUCCUCCUCAUCGAAGGGAAUGUCCGAUCAGAGCUCGAGCAAAAAGGAGCUGAGUUAAUGUCCAUCGUAGGCGCUUGGGGAGUUGAAGUCGGCGUUGCCGUUUCAACUAGCAAGACGGCGAUCAUGCUGCUCAAAGGCAUACUUAGACGGCCGCCAGUGGUACGGUUUGCUGGAGCAAGCCUGCCAUAUAAGCGCAAGUAUCGGUACCUAGGCAUCACGGUCGGCGAGCGGUUGAGUUUUCUCCCGCACAUCACGGGCUUGCGUGAUAAGCUGACCGGAGUCGUAGGGGCAUUGUCGCGCGUACUGCGGGUCGACUGGGGACUCAGUCCCCGCGCAAAGCGGACAAUAUAUGCCGGACUCAUGGUGCCCUGUGCACUAUUUGGUGCCUCGGUUUGGUCUGUCGUGACGACGACGCAAGUGGUUGCCAGGAGGCAUCUGCUUGCGUGCCAAAGGAUCGUCCUGAUUGGAUGCCUACCGGUAUGCCGAACAGUGUCCACCAUGGCGCUGCAAGUACUAGCUGGAGCCCCCCCGUUUGAUCUGGUUGCCAGACGCCUGGCAAUCAGCUUCAAACUAAAGCGUGACUACCCGCUGGAGGAGAGCGAUUGGCUGUACGGCGAAGAUUUGGCAAAUCUUAGCUGGAAGCAGAAGAUGGCGCGACUAGACGAAGACCUGUUGUGCGAGUGGCAACGCAGAUGGGAUGAUGGUGACUCCCCAGGACGGGUGACGCACCGCUUCAUCCCGAACGCAGGCUUCGCCUACAGCGAACGAAGGUUUGGCCACGGUUCGCCGGACUGGCGUUCUCCAGGCGACAGCAGCUGCUGAAUGCGCAAGCGGCGCACGGGCUGGGUGGAUUCCCUAUCCAGGCCGGUCGGGGCUAAAAGGGAGGAUCGAGCUGAGUCCUUCAGAUCGGUACCACGGGUUGUGCAGUUCCAAGGCUGCACAUUGAGGUCGGCCCCCUAGUGGGAGUAUCGUGGUGGCUGUGGUUGAUACCCAAACGUUACGCGGGGAGAGCCGCUAGGCUCCUCGUGGAGUUGCGCUCUCCAUCGGGUGCCGAGACCUAUAGAUCGGAAGACGUGUUAGAUACACCUCGCCCCUCACCAAGGGGGAUUGUAUGCCCGACCAGGAUACUUUCAAUUGGUACCAGAAGAGUCGCUAUGUACAUAGCUAUAGCUUCUUUUUAGGGGCGCUAACUGGCGCAUUGUACCAGGUUCCUGCGUAUGUAGCGGUGGUGCGUGAUGGCGUGAUAUAUGUAAAUAUAUCGCACUAAUCGAGGCUAAGCUGCAAAUAAACAUUAGACGCCGUGGUUGAAAUCCCUCCCUGAGGAACCGCCACGUGAAAUAAAGCUGAGAGAUCAGAUUCAUUCUGUCCCUAUCUACUAUCUAGCGAAACCACAGCCAAGGGAACGGGCUUGGAAUAAUUAGCGGGGAAAGAAGACCCUUUUGAGCUUGACUCUAAUCUGGCAGUGUAAGGAGACAUAAGAGGUGUAGCAUAAGUGGGAGAUAUUAGAUUUCGGUUUGGUAUCGACAAUGAAAUACCACUACUCUUAUUGUUUCCUUACUUACUUGAUUAAAUGGAACGUGUAUCAUUUCCUAGCCAUUAUACGGAUAUAUUUAUUAUAUCUUAUGGUAUUGGGUUUUGAUGCAAGCUUCUUGAUCAAAGUAUCACGAGUUUGUUAUAUAAUCGCAAACAAAUUCUUUAAUGAGAAAAUGCAUUUAUGUAUUUUCAAUUUGAAAAUUUGGUAUAACUCCAAUUACUCAGGUAUGAUCCAAUUCAAGGACAUUGCCAGGUAGGGAGUUUGACUGGGGCGGUACAUCUCUCAAAUAAUAACGGAGGUGUCCCAAGGCCAGCUCAGUGCGGACAGAAACCACACAUAGAGCAAAAGGGCAAAUGCUGACUUGAUCUCGGUGUUCAGUACACACAGGGACAGCAAAAGCUCGGCCUAUCGAUCCUUUUGGUUUAAAGAGUUUUUAACAAGAGGUGUCAGAAAAGUUACCAUAGGGAUAACUGGCUUGUGGCGGCCAAGCGUUCAUAGCGACGUCGCUUUUUGAUCCUUCGAUGUCGGCUCUUCCUAUCAUUGUGAAGCAAAAUUCACCAAGCGUUGGAUUGUUCACCCAUGCAAGGGAACGUGAGCUGGGUUUAGACCGUCGUGAGACAGGUUAGUUUUACCCUACUAAUGACAAAACGUUGUUGCGACAGCAUUCCUGCGUAGUACGAGAGGAACCGCAGGUACGGACCAAUGGCACAAUACUUGUUCGAGCGAACAGUGGUAUGACGCUACGUCCGUUGGAUUAUGCCUGAACGCCUCUAAGGUCGUAUCCGUGCUGGACUGCAAUGAUAAAUAAGGGGCAAUUUGCAUUGUAUGGCUUCUAAACGACAAUGGAUGUGAUGCCAAUGUAAUUUGUAACAUAGUAAAUUGGGAGGAUCAUCGAUCACCUGAUGCCGCGCUAGUUGCAUAUAAAAACAUUAUUUAAUACAAUGACAAAGCC